GACGAACGCUGGCGGCGUGCCUAAUACAUGCAAGUUGAGCGCUGAAGGUUGGUACUUGUACCAACUGGAUGAGCAGCGAACGGGUGAGUAACGCGUGGGGAAAUCUGCCUUUGAGCGGGGGACAACAUUUGGAAACGAAUGCUAAUACCGCAUAAAAACUUUAAACACAAGUUUUAAGUUUGAAAGAUGCAAUUGCAUCACUCAAAGAUGAUCCCGCGUUGUAUUAGCUAGUUGGUGAGGUAAAGGCUCACCAAGGCGAUGAUACAUAGCCGACCUGAGAGGGUGAUCGGCCACAUUGGGACUGAGACACGGCCCAAACUCCUACGGGAGGCAGCAGUAGGGAAUCUUCGGCAAUGGACGAAAGUCUGACCGAGCAACGCCGCGUGAGUGAAGAAGGUUUUCGGAUCGUAAAACUCUGUUGGUAGAGAAGAACGUUGGUGAGAGUGGAAAGCUCAUCAAGUGACGGUAACUACCCAGAAAGGGACGGCUAACUACGUG
rnacentral:rRNA from 1 species